rnacentral:rRNA from 1 species
UACGAAGGGUGCAAACGUUGCUCGGAAUCAUUGGGCGUAAAGCGCACGUAGGCGGCCCUGUAAGUCGGAUGUGAAAUCCCUCGGCUCAACCGAGGACGUGCAUCCGAAACUGCAGAGCUCGAGUAUGGAAGAGGGUCGCGGAAUUCCCGGUGUAGAGGUGAAAAUUCGUAGAUAUCGGGAGGAACACCAGUGGCGAAGGCGGCGACCUGGGCCAAUACUGACGCUGAGGUGCGAAAGCGUGGGGAGCAAACAGG